AAGUCAUUGAGUGAGUGUGUUCCUGCUUGUGUGGUGUGAAUGUGAUCGAGUGCUUGUUUGUGUGUGUGAGCGCAUGAAUGUUUGUGUUUUAUGAAUGUGUGUGUGAGAAUGAGAUGACUCUUAAAAAAACCUACACCGUGAUCUUAUUUGAUCUCAUCCGAGUUGUUGCCCUACUCUGAUGCAGAGAUGAUAAUAACUGACCCGGGAGCUUCUGUAGCGAUGACCGCGAGGCUUUUUUUACUCGGGGCAUCCACAGUGCAAACUGUGGUAAGAAAUGAUGAAUCGAUCAGAUAUACAAGAAAGACAGAGAGCUGGAUCUCGGUCUGGUAUUUCCUGUAUCUUUCACUGAGUAUAACGGCGAUUCUGAUCUCA